GGGAUUUGUUAAGCCUAAAGGCGCAAUGAAAGUGAAGGUCGGCCUUAGUGUCGAUCGAGGGAGGAUGACUCGCGUUAUAAUUAAGCGAGCCCGCACUCCCGGGGCGUCUCGUGCUCAUUGCGAGCAGAGGCGCACCGAGAGCGUACACGUUGGGACCCGAAAGAUGGUGAACUAUGCCUGGUCAGGACGAAGUCAGGGGAAACCCUGAUGGAGGUCCGUAGCGAUUCUGACGUGCAAAUCGAUCGUCGGAACUGGGUAUAGGGGCGAAAGACUAAUCGAACCAUCUAGUAGCUGGUUCCCUCCGAAGUUUCCCUCAGGAUAGCUGGCACUCGCUUGAGCGAGUCUCAUCUGGUAAAGCGAAUGAUUAGAGGCCUUGGGGCCGAAACGACCUCAACCUAUUCUCAAACUUUAAAUGGGUGAGAUCUCUGGCUUGCUCGAACGUUGAAGCCACGAGAUUAAUUUUUGCAAUGGAUCAGAGUGCCAAGUGGGCCAAUUUUGGUAAGCAGAACUGGCGCUGUGGGA
rnacentral:rRNA from 1 species